ncrna:unclassified sequences DTF3268 RNA
AGCAAGAUACUGCGUAGAGGCUUUCGAUACGUCGCGGCGCCAUGGCGUGAGUCCCGCUGAAAUGGUGCGGGGAAUCGUUACGGAGCCGCUGUCCCGCGGCCCCACAACGCGCAGGU